AGGGAAAACCUGAAAAAGAAACUCCAAAAAAGAUAAUAUCUGCUACCGGUGGACUUGAGCUGUUAUAGUUUGUCUGUAAUGUCGUACAUUAACUCUUAUGCUAGUUAGACCUUCUUGUGAUAUCCAUCCAGACACUCACGGUGUUUGCUGUCAACAACAGCUAAUUGAAAACAACAAGAAAUGUGUUCACGGAGUCAAAAUAUAUCUUCAAUUCAAGUAAGAGAAAGAGAAGAAAAACAGAGGUGGGAUAGAGACCUGGCGGUGGUGGUGGUAGUGUCAAUGCCAAUGCAUUGACUGAAAACACAGACGAGAUUGGGUCAAAAUACAGAAUUCCAAAGGCUUUGACCAAUCGUUUUGAUGUUUGGAAAAAGAAAGUCAAUAUGAAUGUCAAAUCCAAGAUUGUUAAACAGGAAUUGAACCGAUCUUGAGAGUUGAAAAUUGGGCUUUUUGAAUCAGCGCCCGCGUAGGAGAAGCUCAAACCCAUCACAGGACGAGAGAAAAAUCAAGAUAUUCGGUGGCUGUCGGUCGAAUUAGAUAGCUUUCGAGAGCUGUACAGUCUCAAAAGGGGUCGUCUCAGGGCAUUAGCCCAUCGGUAAAUUUUGAGGUUUUUUUUUUGAAUUUUGUAUCCCGAACACUUUUCCCACUUGAACG